rnacentral:tRNA from 1 species
GGGCCUCUAGCUCAGUUGGUUAGAGCAUCGGACUUUUAAUCCGAGGGUCGUGGGUUCGAUCCCCACGGGGCCUACCA